CCUACGGGGGGCAGCAGUAGGGACUCUUCCACAAUGGGCGAAAGCCUGAUGGAGCAACGCCGCGUGGAUGAAGAAGGUCUUCGGAUCGUAAAACCCUGUUGUUAGAGAAGAACGUGCGUGAGAGUAACUGUUCACGUUUAGACGGUAUCUAACCAGAAAGCCACGGCUAACUACGUGCAAGCAGCCGCGGUAAUACGUAGUUGGCAAGCGUUAUCCGGAUUUUUUGGGCUUAAAGGGAACGCAGGCGGUCUUUUAAGUCUGAUGUGAAAGCCUUCGGCUUAACCGGAGUAGUGCAUUGGAAACUGGGAGACUUGAGUGCAGAAGAGGAGAGUGGAACUCCAUGGGUAGC
rnacentral:rRNA from 1 species